GACAGAGGUGCCAAGCGUUAGGCGGAAUCACUGGGCUUAAAGCGUGUGUAGGCGGAUGCCUAAGUACCUUGUGAAAUCCCACGGCUCAACCGUGGAACUGCUGGGUAUACUGGGUGUCUUGGGUCAGCUAGGGGUUGCCGGAACAAAUGGUGGAGCGGUGAAAUGCGUAGAUAUCAUAAGGAAGGCCAGUGGCGAAGGCGAGUUCCUGGACAGUUACUGACGCUGAGGCACGAAGGCCAGGGGAGCAAACGGG
rnacentral:rRNA from 1 species